AUGAGAUUAAUUUUAAGGUAUUGUUUGUUUGCUUAUGGAAUUUUACUUCCAUCACCUUGUUAUGCAGGCAGUAUUCUGGCACAGGACACCAUGAACCCGUCAUCUUCAACUGCCCAAAUGAACGGCUCAAUGAGCAGCACCUCAUCCAUCUUCCCAACAAGUGAUGACGCUCAAACCGUUUCAACUCGAGUCACCACCGUUGAUGAAUCGAGUCCGAGCACCGUUGAGUGGAACUCGAGCACGAGUCUGGGAAGCGCCAGCACUCCAGAAAUGAAUACCAAUGGCACCACCUCGGGUCUAGCCCCAACUUCUGUGACGACCUUCUUGGCUAGUACGUCUAAGAAUAUGUCAGGCACUGCCACAGCGGAAGGGCCAGUUUAUGACACGAGCAGUACCACUUCCCAGCAGGGUGCAUUGAGCUCCAGUUCUUCAGAGAUCGCACGGAGCACGGGAUUCAGCACGUCAGUUGGUACUUUGAUUUCUGCUUCGACUCAGUUGCACACGACAGGAACAGAGCAAGCAUUGAAGCCUGAGCCACCAGGUACCCUCUCAGCUGGCGCGGUUUCUGUGAUCAUCGCUUUCUGCGUGCUGGGCCUCAUCGUGUUGCUUGGAGCAGCAGUGUAUUACAUCCGCAGCAAACGUGGGCCAGAGUUUGAGCGCCUGCAAGAUGACGUACCCAUGUGUCUGAAAUUCCCAUCCACGUGUUUCUCUCCUGCUUCUCUUCCUCCUCCUCCUCUUUCUUCCACUUUGCAAUUUGAAGACUGCCGUAAAGGAUGAUAACAUUGGAGCGAUUACUUUUGCGCAGCUCGGAUGACCCACGGAAUGCCGAUUCAUCAAUCUCUUUUCCACGUAUUGGGGGUUUUUUUUUUUUUUUUUGGCGUGGGGGUGGAGGGCAUGCUUUAACAAAUGCAAGUUGA
rnacentral:lncRNA from 1 species